GCAGGCCUAACACAUGCAAGUCGAGCGGUAGCACAAGGGAGCUUGCUCCCUGGGUGACGAGCGGCGGACGGGUGAGUAAUGUCUGGGGAUCUGCCUGAUGGAGGGGGAUAACUACUGGAAACGGUAGCUAAUACCGCAUAACGUCGCAAGACCAAAGUGGGGGACCUUAGGGCCUCAUGCCAUCGGAUGAACCCAGAUGGGAUUAGCUAGUAGGUGAGGUAAUGGCUCACCUAGGCGACGAUCCCUAGCUGGUCUGAGAGGAUGACCAGCCACACUGGAACUGAGACACGGUCCAGACUCCUACGGGAGGCAGCAGUGGGGAAUAUUGCACAAUGGGCGCAAGCCUGAUGCAGCCAUGCCGCGUGUGUGAAGAAGGCCUUAGGGUUGUAAAGCACUUUCAGCGAGGAGGAAGGAUGAAGUGUUAAUAGCACUUGAUAUUGACGUUACUCGCAGAAGAAGCACCGGCUAACUCCGUGCCAGCAGCCGCGGUAAUACGGAGGGUGCAAGCGUUAAUCGGAAUUACUGGGCGUAAAGCGCACGCAGGCGGUCUGACAAGUCAUUAAUUCGAUGCAACGCGAAGAACCUUACCUACUCUUGACAUCCAGAGAAUUAGCCAGAGAUGGCUGAGUGCCUUCGGGAGCUCUGAGACAGGUGCUGCAUGGCUGUCGUCAGCUCGUGUUGUGAAAUGUUGGGUUAAGUCCCGCAACGAGCGCAACCCUUAUCCUUUGUUGCCAGCGAUUCGGUCGGGAACUCAAAGGAGACUGCCGGUGAUAAACCGGAGGAAGGUGGGGAUGACGUCAAGUCAUCAUGGCCCUUACGAGUAGGGCUACACACGUGCUACAAUGGCGUAUACAAAGAGAAGCGAGCCUGCGAGGGGAAGCGGACCUCAUAAAGUACGUCGUAGUCCGGAUUGGAGUCUGCAACUCGACUCCAUGAAGUCGGAAUCGCUAGUAAUCGUAGAUCAGAAUGCUACGGUGAAUACGUUCCCGGGCCUUGUACACACCGCCCGUCACANCCAUGGGAGUGGGUUGCAAAAGAAGUAGGUAGCUUAACCUUCGGGAGGGCGCUUACCACUUUGUGGUU
rnacentral:rRNA from 1 species